CUGCUACAAAAGUUCAGCACUUAUAGUAAAUUUGGAACAAUACAGAGAAUAUUAGCAUGUCCCUGUUCAAGGAUUGCACAUAAAUUUAUUAAGCAUUCUUACUUUCA
ensembl:snRNA U6 U6 spliceosomal RNA